UUUUUGGGACCAAGGACCUCAAAUCAAAAGAUCCUAGGUCUCUAUCACUUAUGAUUUAUAAGAUAGAAAUUCAUAUCACUUAUAUCAGAUGCAUAAGGGGAAAUAACUCUCAUAUGGAGCGGUCAUAUCGCUUCGGUCAAAAUAGGACAAAUCAUGCGAAGGAUAUAACGAGCAAUUUUGUAAAAUAAAUUUGUCAUAAUCUUUUACGGUUGCGAAGGAGAUGCGCUAACAAGGAAAACAGUGUUUGGGGAGAUAACUCCUACAAAGAAAAGUAUUCGUUUACGCAGGGUAAAUUUCAAAAGUGCAUAAACUGUUCGAUAUCAUAUACCAAAUAUCUAAGCGACAUAUUGCGAAACAAAUGUUUAUCGCAAGAACAAAAUUAGGCGGAAGAAAAAAAAAAAAAAAAAAAAAAAUAAUCAGAAGAAAAACAAUAGGUCUUUCCACAGAAAAGUGGAAAGACCUAAUUAAAAACCAAUUGUUCAGAGAACAAUUGAAGGUCUUUCCAUCA
rnacentral:lncRNA from 1 species